rnacentral:rRNA from 1 species
UACGAAGGGGGCUAGCGUUGCUCGGAAUCACUGGGCGUAAAGCGCACGUAGGCGGAUUGUUAAGUCAGGGGUGAAAUCCUGGAGCUCAACUCCAGAACUGCCUUUGAUACUGGCGAUCUUGAGUCCGGGAGAGGUGAGUGGAACUGCGAGUGUAGAGGUGAAAUUCGUAGAUAUUCGCAAGAACACCAGUGGCGAAGGCGGCUCACUGGACCACAACUGACGCUGAGGCGCGAAAGCUAGGGGAGCAAACAGG